rnacentral:rRNA from 1 species
UACGUAGGGCGCAAGCGUUAUCCGGAAUUAUUGGGCGUAAAGAGCUCGUAGGCGGCCAACUAAGUCGGAUGUGAAAUCCCCAGGCUUAACCUGGGAACUGCAUCCGAUACUGGAUGGCUUGAAUCCGGGAGAGGGAUGCAGAAUUCCAGGUGUAGCGGUGAAAUGCGUAGAUAUCUGGAGGAAUACCGGUGGCGAAGGCGGCAUCCUGGACCGGCAUUGACGCUGAUGAGCGAAAGCUAGGGGAGCAAACGGG